CCGUGAGGGAAAGAUGAAAAGAACUUUGAAAAGAGAGUUAAACAGUAUGUGAAAUUGUUAAAAGGGAACCGUUUGGAGCCAGACUGGCUUGUCUGUAAUCAAUCUAGGCUUCGGCCUGGAUGCACUUGCAGGCUAUGCCUGCCAACGACAAUUUGACUUGAGGGAAAAAACUAGGGGAAAUGUGGCCCACUUGUGGGUGUUAUAGUCCCUUAGAAAAUACCUUGGGUUGGAUUGAGGAACGCAGCGAAUGCUUAUUGGCGAGUUUUCCAGGAAGGUUUUCUGAGGUACUACGGUAUCAAGGUUGAUCUUUUUGGUUAUACUUCUAUUCGCUUAGGUUGUUGGCUUAAUGACUCUAAAUGACCC
rnacentral:rRNA from 4 species